UACGUAGGGUGCGAGCGUUAAUCGGAAUUACUGGGCGUAAAGUGUGCGCAGGUGGCCGCGCAUGUCGAGUGUGAAAUCCCCGGGCUUAACUUGGGAAUUGCGCUCGAAACUACGUGGCUAGAGUGUGGCAGAGGAAGGUGGAAUUCCACGUGUAGCGGUGAAAUGCGUAGAGAUGUGGAGGAACACCGAUGGCGAAGGCAGCCUUCUGGGCCAACAC
rnacentral:rRNA from 1 species